UCCUGUCGGGCAGUAGUUAAAUCCGCGGGUCUUCAGGUCAGGGGCUUCUGGGAUUGCUAGCUUACUGAAUGAAUCCAGCGGCUACAAGAGAAACUCAACGAUGCUUUGGUCGACGGACUUCAAACUCCAGAACGAGGCUACAGAGGCUCCACCCUAACCGUUCCAUUCGACUUUUCAAUGGACCUACAGCGGAUGGGGGCCCCCAAGAGAGUGACGAACUCAUGCAGUCAGAUGGAAUCUGGAGAAGAACGAACUGCUGGUCAGACUGUUAAAGGGUUCUCCACCAAGACCAAAGAGCUGUCGAAGCACACAAGAAUCAAGAUUGUACAUCUGAACAAGACUGGAAUGAACCAAUCUACAAUCAGCAAACAGCUUGAUGAGAAUAUAUGAACUUUUGGAGAUUUUUUGUAGAAAAAAGUAAGAAAUUCAAAAUCACUGACUAUCUCUCUUCACCUCCAUGCAAGAUCUCAGCUGAUGGGGAGCAAAGGAUCUUAAAAACAGUGAGGAAACAGCCCAGAACUGUAUGGAACUGUAGAUCUGUUUGGAAGAAUGGGCCAAAAUAGCAGCUACCUUGUAAUCCUGGUGAACACUUACAGAUCUCCUAAUUCCAACAAGCGUUAUAUUACAAAGGAUUGAGGUGAACUUUUGUUUGACACCACUUAUUUUUUUUUAUGCCAUCACUGUUAGUCACGUCGAUGUAGAUCAUCAACCCCCCCAUGUCUGAUGAUAUUUACUGCUGACACACUUGUUGACUCACCAGCUCCUCUCUAAAAUGCACAUCCUGUCAUCAAUGAUCAAACCCAUCAAUGCAAUGGCAUCACAUAAAUUAGAAAAAAUGUUUCAAAUGGAGGAAGAAGCAAAAAAAUAUCAUUCAUACAAAGUUUAGUUAUCAGAAGUGUUCUUCAGUUAGAGACGUUUGCUUUCACAGUGAAUUAAUCAUGCUGUCAGCAUGCAGGAAGUGGAAGCUCUCAGGCUGUUUCUGCAUUUCUCCAGAAUAUGAAUUGAUAGUACUUCAUACUGGCAGAUCUCCAAGCAGCACUGCACACAGAAUUGAAUCUGUAAAGGAGAUGCCGAUGGAACAACUGACUGACAUUUGAAAUUUCAAUAACUUUUAAAUUCUAUUUGAAAAUGUUGCAAAUGCUAAAUGUGUUGCUGCAAGUAAAAUGCAAAUGAGGUUGUAACUAUGGAAAAGAGGCAAAAAAAGUGUGGUGCGGUAAAAUGUCAUGGUUACACGCUUGGUUGUGCAUGACCAUUAAAUUAGGUAGGUUUGGAAAAAUAAAAAAGUUUUAAAUGAUGGUGGAAUUUCGUUAAAAUCACAACUUUUAGGGAUUUUCUAUAAAUUAUGUGGUACAAAUAAAAAAAAAAGCUCUUUUUUAGUUUUUUCACGUGAUGCAGCACAGAAUUUAUUUAUUUCUCAAUGUUUUUAAUUUUGGAUGUGAUAAGCCACAGCAACUCAGGGGCAUCCAAACAGGCUCUUCAGGAGGCCAUGCAGAAAGGAGGCCUGCAUGAUUAAACAGACAGUUUAGAUUGUGGUUCCACUUCAGUGAGUUGAAUUUUAAUUUCCUUUCCUGGGUAGUUGAUUGGUAGUAAUUGGAUUUUGCCAGGCUUUGUUAAAAAGUCAGAGGGAAACACUAACAAAUAAAAGAGCUAACAAUUGUUUGGUUUUACGGGAAGGAAACAAGAGAAAUGUGUACUUUAAACUAAUUGUUUCAGUUGGUUUGCCUCCUUUUUUAUAUGAAUUAAAGCGUUAAAAUGUUGUGCAAUGAUUGGUUGUUUUGAGGACCGUAGCAUGAGACUGAGUGAUGAAUGGUGACCCAAACAGGACAGAUCUCAGACAGGAAAUGCAGACUGUGGUGCCAAACGUGGCUAGCAGAUGGCAACAACAGGGCCCUGUCGGUCCAAAGUAGAGGGUGGGCAUGUGGACGGCAAAAAGACUCGGAAUGGAUAAUGUUAGGCCAUCUGUCUAUGACAAAACAAAUGUAAAGGUGGAACUAUUUUGCUUUAGAUUAAGAUAGCUUCGAGAUGAGACUGCAUGCAACAAUUUGACCUUUAAAGACCCGACUCUUGCUCAAAUGUUAUUUUGUUAUAAGAUCUUUGGUACAUCUCUGCAUGCUGUUGCAGCUUUCUGCUUUUGCAACAGCUCCUUGCUCCACUUGUGAUGUAGGUCUGCAUCUUAAUCAGUGUUUUAUUCACCUCAGUUUUGAGGUCACCUUGGGCUGUCUCAGUAAAAUAAAGUGGCACA